rnacentral:misc_RNA from 1 species
GAUGACGAACGCAGCGAAAUGCGAUAAGUAAUGUGAAUUGCAGAAUUCAGUGAAUCAUCGAAUCUUUGAACGCACAUUGCGCCCCCCAGUAUUCUGGCGGGCAUGCCUGUUCGAGCGUCAUUUCAACCAUCAAGCCCUGCUUGUGUUGGGGUCCUGCGGCUGCCCGCAGGCCCUGAAAACCAGUGGCGGGCUCGCUAGUCACACCGAGCGCAGUAGCACAUCUCGCUCAGGGCGUGCGGCGGGCUCCAGCCGUUAAAGCACCCACCUUUCGCAAGGUUGACCUCGGAUCAGGUAGGAAUACCCGCUGAACUUAAGCAUAUCAAAAGCGGAGGA